rnacentral:SRP_RNA from 2 species
GCCAGGCGUGGUGGUGCAUGCCUGUAAUCCUAGCUACUCGGGAGGCUGAGGCAGGAGAAUCGCUUGAACUCGGGAGGUGGAGGUGGCAGUGAGCCGAGAUCACGCCACUGUACUCCAGCCUGGGAGACACAGUGAGACCCUGUCUCUA